AUGGCCAUAUUAUGUUGAAACACUGGUUUCCAUAUGAUCACUGAAGUUAAGCAACAUUAUGUCUGGACAGUACCUAGGUGGGUGACCAUUUAGAAAUACCAGAUGUUGUAA